rnacentral:rRNA from 1 species
GUCUACGGCCACACCUAGGCGAAAACACCAGUUCCCGUCCGAUCACUGCAGUUAAGCGUCUGAGGGCCUCGUUAGUACUAUGGUUGGAGACAACAUGGGAAUCCGGGGUGCUGUAGGCUCCC